GGGUUGUGAGGUUAAGUGACUAAGCGUACACGGUGGAUGCCUAGGCAGUCAGAGGCGAUGAAGGGCGUGCUAAUCUGCGAAAAGCGUCGGUAAGGUGAUAUGAACCGUUACAACCGGCGAUACCCGAAUGGGGAAACCCAGUGUGUUUCGACACACUAUCAUGUCAUGAAUACAUAGUGGCAUGAGGCGAACCGGGGGAACUGAAACAUCUAAGUACCCCGAGGAAAAGAAAUCAACCGAGAUUCCCCCAGUAGCGGCGAGCGAACGGGGAGGAGCCCAGAACCUGAAUCGGCUUGUGUGUUAGUGGAAGCGUCUGGAAAGUCGCGCAGUAAAGGGUGAUAGCCCCGUACACUAAAAUGCACAGGUCGUGAGUUCGAUGAGUAGGGCGGGACACGUGACAUCCUGUCUGAAUAUGGGGGGACCAUCCUCCAAGGCUAAAUACUCCUGACUGACCGAUAGUGAACCAGUACCGUGAGGGAAAGGCGAAAAGAACCCCGGCGAGGGGAGUGAAAUAGAACCUGAAACCGUGUACGUACAAGCAGUGGGAGCACCUUCGUGGUGUGACUGCGUACCUUUUGUAUAAUGGGUCAGCGACUUAUAUUUUGUAGCAAGGUUAACCGUAUAGGGGAGCCGUAGGGAAACCGAGUCUUAACUGGGCGAAUAGUUGCAAGGUAUAGACCCGAAACCCGGUGAUCUAGCCAUGGGCAGGUUGAAGGUUGGGUAACACUAACUGGAGGACCGAACCGACUAAUGUUGAAAAAUUAGCGGAUGACUUGUGGCUGGGGGUGAAAGGCCAAUCAAACCGGGAGAUAGCUGGUUCUCCCCGAAAGCUAUUUAGGUAGCGCCUCGUGAACUCAUCUUCGGGGUAGAGCACUGUUUCGGCUAGGGGGCCAUCCCGGCUUACCAAACCGAUGCAAACUCCGAAUACCGAAGAAUGUUAUCACGGGAGACACACGGCGGGUGCUAACGUCCGUCGUGAAGAGGGAAACAACCCAGACCGCCAGCUAAGGUCCCAAAGUCAUGGUUAAGUGGGAAACGAUGUGGGAAGGCAUAGACAGCCAGGAUGUUGGCUUAGAAGCAGCCAUCAUUUAAAGAAAGCGUAAUAGCUCACUGGUCGAGUCGGCCUGCGCGGAAGAUGUAACGGGGCUAAACCAUGCACCGAAGCUGCGGCAGCGACGCUUAGGCGUUGUUGGGUAGGGGAGCGUUCUGUAAGCCGUUGAAGGUGGCCUGUGAGGGUUGCUGGAGGUAUCAGAAGUGCGAAUGCUGACAUAAGUAACGAUAAAGCGGGUGAAAAGCCCGCUCGCCGGAAGACCAAGGGUUCCUGUCCAACGUUAAUCGGGGCAGGGUGAGUCGACCCCUAAGGCGAGGCUGAAAAGCGUAGUCGAUGGGAAACAGGUUAAUAUUCCUGUACUUGGUGUUACUGCGAAGGGGGGACGGAGAAGGCUAGGCUAGCCGGGCGACGGUUGUCCCGGUUUAAGCGUGUAGGGGGUGUGACCUGGUAAAUCCGGUUGCAUAUCAACCCUGAGGCGUGAUGACGAUGCACUACGGUGCAGAAGUAGUUGAUGCCCUGCUUCCAGGAAAAGCCUCUAAGCUCUAGGUAACAUUAAAUCGUACCCCAAACCGACACAGGUGGUCAGGUAGAGAAUACCAAGGCGCUUGAGAGAACUCGGGUGAAGGAACUAGGCAAAAUGGUGCCGUAACUUCGGGAGAAGGCACGCUGGCAUGUAGGUGAAGUCCCUUGCGGAUGGAGCUGAAGCCAGUCGAAGAUACCAGCUGGCUGCAACUGUUUAAUAAAAACACAGCACUGUGCAAACACGAAAGUGGACGUAUACGGUGUGACGCCUGCCCGGUGCUGGAAGGUUAAUUGAUGGGGUCAGCCGCAAGGCGAAGCUCUUGAUCGAAGCCCCAGUAAACGGCGGCCGUAACUAUAACGGUCCUAAGGUAGCGAAAUUCCUUGUCGGGUAAGUUCCGACCUGCACGAAUGGCGUAAUGAUGGCCAGGCUGUCUCCACCCGAGACUCAGUGAAAUUGAACUCGCUGUGAAGAUGCAGUGUACCCGCGGCAAGACGGAAAGACCCCGUGAACCUUUACUAUAGCUUGACACUGAACAUUGAGCCUUGAUGUGUAGGAUAGGUGGGAGGCUUUGAAGCGUGGACGCCAGUCUGCGUGGAGCCAUCCUUGAAAUACCACCCUUUAAUGUUUGAUGUUCUAACUCGGCCCCAUAAUCUGGGGUGAGGACAGUGUCUGGUGGGUAGUUUGACUGGGGCGGUCUCCUCCCAAAGAGUAACGGAGGAGCACGAAGGUUAGCUAAUCACGGUCGGACAUCGUGAGGUUAGUGCAAAGGCAUAAGCUAGCUUGACUGCGAGAGUGACGGCUCGAGCAGGUACGAAAGUAGGUCUUAGUGAUCCGGUGGUUCUGAAUGGAAGGGCCAUCGCUCAACGGAUAAAAGGUACUCCGGGGAUAACAGGCUGAUACCGCCCAAGAGUUCAUAUCGACGGCGGUGUUUGGCACCUCGAUGUCGGCUCAUCACAUCCUGGGGCUGAAGUAGGUCCCAAGGGUAUGGCUGUUCGCCAUUUAAAGUGGUACGCGAGCUGGGUUUAGAACGUCGUGAGACAGUUCGGUCCCUAUCUGCCGUGGGCGUUGGAAGAUUGAGAGGGGUUGCUCCUAGUACGAGAGGACCGGAGUGAACGCACCACUGGUGUUCGGGUUGUCAUGCCAAUGGCAUUGCCCGGUAGCUAAGUGCGGAAAAGAUAAGCGCUGAAAGCAUCUAAGCGCGAAACUUGCCUCAAGAUGAGUCUUCCCUGGGCUUUUAAGGCCCCUGAAGGAACGUUUAAGACUAAGACGUUGAUAGGCUGGGUGUGUAAGUGCAGCGAUGCAUUGAGCUAACCAGUACUAAUGAUCCGUGAGGCUUAACCUUACAACACCGAAGGUGUUU
rnacentral:rRNA from 1 species